rnacentral:snoRNA from 2 species
CUGAAUCACGAUACAGCAUUAUGAAGGCAAAUUAUCCUAUAAUGCUCACAAAAGGUUCACAUAACAAAUUAUUCUUUGAUGAGCCUGAAUGGUUGAGUUUCAUUUCAGGAACAGAUACGGAAUAUACAAAC